GCAGAAUUGUUAUGCAUGCAUCAAAAUAGAGCUUCUUUAUAAGACAAAGAUCCGAGGGAGGAAGCCCCAAAUGUCCUCAAAUCCUAGAAACGCCCCGGCUGUAAACUCAUAUCCUGUGCUCAGUGCUUUGGUGUGGGAGAGUCUCUUUCUUUUUGUCUCUUUCCAGCCACAGUGUUUCUCACUGCUCAUGGCACACAAAUCGAAGGCGAGCCACAGCCUCACGCUGGUGUUAACAAACGAGGUGAGCACAUGGAAUUGGCAGAUUUAUGUAGGACUGCACGAUAUGGUGAAAACAGCUUAUUGCACUUGGUCUCGGAUUCUUGGAGCCUGA
rnacentral:lncRNA from 15 species